UACGUAGGGUGCAAGCGUUACUCGGAAUUAUUGGGCGUAAAGGGCGCGUAGGCGGUCGUGUGCGUCGGAGGUGAAAUCCCCGGGCUUAACCCGGGAACUGCCUCCGAUACGGCAUGGCUUGAGUCCGGGAGAGGGGAGCGGAAUUCCCAGUGUAGCGGUGAAAUGCGUAGAUAUUGGGAGGAACACCGGUGGCGAAGGCGGCUCCCUGGACCGGUACUGACGCUGAGGCGCGAAAGCGUGGGUAGCAAACAGG
rnacentral:rRNA from 1 species